UACGGGGGGGGCAAGCGUUGUUCGGAAUUACUGGGCGUAAAGGGCGCGUAGGCGGUCAGACCAAGUCGAGUGUGAAAUUCCAGGGCUUAACUCUGGCGCGCUCGCUCGAUACUGGUCGGCUAGAGUGUGGAAGAGGAUGCUGGAAUUCCCGGUGUAGCGGUGAAAUGCGUAGAUAUCUGGAGGAACACCGGUGGCGAAGGCGGCGUCCUGGACCAAUACUGACACUGAAACGCGAAAGCCAGGGGAGCAAACGGG
rnacentral:rRNA from 1 species